rnacentral:rRNA from 1 species
UUGGCGAAGCUGUGCUUGCACAGCCUAGCCAAUGCGGACGGGUGAGUAACGCGUAAGGGACUUGCCCUGCAGUCAGGGAUAACAGACGGAAACGACUGAUAAGACCUGAUAAAGUCAGGCGGACUCAUGUCCAGCCUGAUGAAAAGGAAUGCUGCAGGAGAGCCUUGCGUCCUAUUAGCUUGUUGGUGGGGUAACGGCCCACCAAGGCGAUGAUAGGUAGCCGGCCUGAGAGGGUGGACGGCCACAAGGGGACUGAGAUACGGCCCUUACUCCUACGGGAGGCAGCAGUGGGGAAUAUUGGACAAUGGGGGCAACCCUGAUCCAGCAAUUCUGUGUGCACGAUGAAGGUCUUCGGAUUGUAAAGUGCUUUCAGCAGGGAAGAAAAAAAUGACGGUACCUGCAGAAGAAGUGACGGCUAAAUACGUGCCAGCAGCCGCGGUAAUACGUAUGUCGCGAGCGUUAUCCGGAAUUAUUGGGCAUAAAGGGCAUCUAGGCGGCCCUGUAAGUCUAGGGUGAAAACCUGCGGCUCAACCGCAGGCCUGCCCCGGAAACUACAGGGCUAGAGUGCUGGAGAGGUGGACGGAACUGCACGAGUAGAGGUGAAAUUCGUAGAUAUGUGCAGGAAUGCCGAUGAUGAAGAUAGUUCACUGGACGGCAACUGACGCUGAAGUGCGAAAGCUAGGGGAGCAAACAGGAUUAGAUANCCUGGUAGUCCUAGCCGUAAACGAUGAUUACUGGGUGUGGGCAUGAAGAGUGUCCGUGCC